rnacentral:rRNA from 1 species
UACGGGGGGAGCAAGCGUUGUUCGGAUUUACUGGGCGUAAAGGGCGCGUAGGCGGCCUCUGCAAGUCGACUGUGAAAUCUCCGGGCUUAACCCGGAAAGGUCAGCCGAUACUGCAGGGCUAGAGUGCAGAAGGGGCAACUGGAAUUCUCGGUGUAGCGGUGAAAUGCGCAGAUAUCGGGAGGAACACCAAUGGCGAAGGCAGCUCGCUGGGACGGUACUGACGCUGAGGCGCGAAAGCGUGGGGAGCAAACAGG